UACGUAGGGUGCGAGCGUUAAUCGGAAUUACUGGGCGUAAAGCGUGCGCAGGCGGUGAUGUAAGACAGAUGUGAAAUCCCCGGGCUCAACCUGGGACCUGCAUUUGUGACUGCAUCGCUAGAGUACGGCAGAGGGGGAUGGAAUUCCGCGUGUAGCAGUGAAAUGCGUAGAUAUGUGGAGGAACACCGAUGGCGAAGGCAGCCCCCCUGGGUCAAGACUGACGCUCAUGCACGAAAGCGUGGGGAGCAAACAGG
rnacentral:rRNA from 1 species